UCCCUGGAGGCCUACUGGUUAGGCCUGGGUGCUCCCACUGCCGUAGCCUGGGUUCAAUUGCUGGCCAGGGAA